rnacentral:rRNA from 1 species
CACGCGGCGGAGCAUGAGGAGAAAUUAGAAGCAUCGCGACGAACAUUACCAAGGCUUGACAUACCCUGGAAAAACCUGGAGACAGGGUCCCCCUUUUGGUCGGUGUACAGGUGGUGCAUGGCUGUCGUCAGCUCGUGUCGUGAGAUGUUGGGCUAAGUCCCGCAACGAGCGCAACCCUUGUCCCGUGUUGCCAGCAGGCCCUUGUGGUGCUGGGGACUCACGGGAGACCGCCGGGGUCAACUCGGAGGAAGGUGGGGACGACGUCAAGUCAUCAUGCCCCUUAUGUCUUGGGCUGCACACGUGCUACAAUGGCCGGUACAAUGAGCUGCGAUACCGCGAGGUGGAGCGAAUCUCAAAAAGCCGGUCUCAGUUCGGAUUGGGGUCUGCAACUCGACCCCAUGAAGUCGGAGUCGCUAGUAAUCGCAGAUCAGCAUUGCUGCGGUGAAUACGUUCCCGGGCCUUGUACACACCGCCCGUCACGUCACGAAAGUCGGUAACACCCGAAGCCGGUGGCCCAACCCCUUGUGGGAGGGAGCUGUCGAAGGUGGGACCUGG